rnacentral:rRNA from 1 species
AUGAUUUGUUCAAGGAAUACUAGAUUAUCCUCCCCGCAGAAAGGACUAUCAGAGGUUUCAUGUUGCAUUGCUUCUAGAUGGCAAGUCCGACCAAUUGUUGAGAUUUAUGUGAAUAACCAUUCUGGUAAGAAGUUCACGCAGAGUGUGACAAAAGGGUUGGGUCAAAAUAAAGUACAUGUAUUACUAAAAUCCAUCCGUCUCAUCUCAUGCAUGCAUAACCAGGUCGAUGGUAAUUUGUCUACUACUCUACUUACUGCAGUUCACGAUAAUUUGUCUACUACUCUACUUAAGCUUGAGGGUGAAGUAGAUGAUAAGUUGCAUUAUUAA